AGUUGGCAGUUGAGUGGCGGCCAUCUUAGAGAGUUGUUCUGACUGGAGGAGCUGAGAGACAAGGCUGGCACUGCUGCUGUGAUUCCUAGCCAGGGAGGAGGACAGAGACGUGGCUACCUGGAGCAGUUUAGAGCUGGAGACCCUCGGAGACAGCUCCAUAGUGACAGAGCCCACCAUAUUUCCAGCAGCAAUUCUCAAAAAAGUCACAAAGACCUUCUGGCCCUGGGUCCACUCCUAGUGAAGCAGAGGAUGCUGUUGAUGCUGGAGACAAUCCCAAACCAUCUCAUCUGCAAAUUGGGCCAUAGAAUCCUUCACCUGAAGAAGGCGUGAAACCAUGCAAAAUGUGCUGGACCUUCUUGUCACACAAUAUUUAAUUAGAGUAAGUCCACAGAGCUGGAAAAGUUUAUCCAUUGCAACUGAAGACCUGUGAAACUGUUUGACUACUGCUUUCACAUUUCCCAAGAGACAUACAACAGCCUAUUUGUGGACCAUGUUGACAAGCUGUAAAGUGUGAAUAAAAGAGGGUGUCUGCUCCAUAAAGUCCCCAUACCUGAAAAACAGAAAGAAGAUAAACAAAGG